AUUUCCAGGAAAAGCCGACAAAGCAUCAGGUAUAUACAGCCCGUACCGUAAACCGACACAGGUAGUCGAGGAGAGCAUCCUAAGGCGCUCGAGUGAUUCGUGGCUAAGGAACUAGGCAAAAUGGUCUCGUAACUUCGGGAGAAGAGACGCUGGCAGCAAUGUCAGCCGCAGUGAAGAGGCCCAGGCGACUGUUUAGCAAAAACACAGGGCUAUGCCAAAUCGUAAGAUGAUGUAUAUGGCCUGACACCUGCCCGGUGCCGGAAGGUUAAGGAAGGGGCUUAGGGGUAACUCGAAGGUCUUAACUGAAGCCCCGGUAAACGGCGGCCGUAACAAUAACGGUCCUAAGGUAGCGAAAUUCCUUGUCGGGUAAGUUCCGACCUGCACGAAUGGUGUAACGAUCUGGGCACUGUCUCAGCCACGAGCUCGGUGAAAUUGAAGUAUCGGUGAAGAUGCCGAUUACCCGCAACGGGACGGAAAGACCCCGUGAACCUUUACUACAGCUUUGCAUUGGGCUUGACUAUUCGAUGCGUAGGAUAGGUGGGAGGCGCUGAUCUUGGUAUUCUGGUACUGAGGGAGUCGACGUUGAAAUACCACCCUUUGACUAGUUGAGUCCUAACGGAGAAAUCCAGACAGUGCAUGGUGGGUAGUUUGACUGGGGUGGUCACCUCCUAAAGAGUAACGGAGGUCUGCAAAGGUACCCUCAGCAUGGACGGUAAUCAUGCGAAGAGCGUAUUAGUAUAAGGGUGCUUGACUGAGAGAUCGACGGAUCGAUCAGGGACGAAAGUCGGCUAAAGUGAUCCGGUGGUUCCGCAUGGAAGGGCCAUCGCUCAAAGGAUAAAAGGUACUCCGGGGAUAACAGGCUGAUCUCCCCCAAGAGCUCAUAUCGACGGGGAGGUUUGGCACCUCGAUGUCGGCUCGUCGCAUCCUGGGGCUGGAGAAGGUCCCAAGGGUUGGGCUGUUCGCCCAUUAAAGCGGCACGUGAGCUGGGUUCAGAACGUCGCAAGACAGUUCGGUCCCUAUCUGUUGUGGGCGCGGGAAGAUUGAAGAGACCUGACACUAGUACGAGAGGACCGUGUUGGACGAACCUCUAGUGUAUCGGUUGUGCCGCCAGGUGCAUUGCCGAGUAGCCAUGUUCGGCCGGGAUAAGCGCUGAAAGCAUCUAAGCGCGAAGCCUACUUUGAGAUGAAUCUUCCAUUAAGGGUCGCAGGAGACUACUGCGUUGAUAGGCGGCAGGUGGAAGUGUGGUGACAUAUUGAGCCGAGCCGUACUAAUUACCCGUAAGCUUCCCGG
rnacentral:rRNA from 1 species